rnacentral:misc_RNA from 1 species
CUGGGAACUGAUAACAAGCAGCUAUUGUGCCGUUCUCUUUUUUGUCUUGGAUUGCUUAUUCGCUAUGAGAAUUCUUUGCUGAGCACCUCUGGUAACAAAAAUAUUGAUGUUGUUAGCAACCUCACCUUGUUUAAAAAGUAUCUACAAAUGGAGGAUUUUGGUAUAAAAGUCAGAUCUUUGCAGGCAUUAGGUUUUGUUCUAAUUGCUAGGCCUGAGUAUAUGCUGGAAAAGGACAUCGGGAAAAU